rnacentral:SRP_RNA from 1 species
AUUGGGUGUGGUGGCAUAUGCCUGUAAUCUCUGCUACCAGGAGGAAGAUGGAUCGCUUGAGCACCAGAAUUCUGAGUCACAGUGUGUCCAAAGCUGAUAGGAUGUCCACCCUAAUUCUAGCACCAAUAUGGCGAGCCUCCUAGAGUGGGAGAUUACCAGGCUGCCUAAGGAAGGGUGAAAUGGUCCCGGUUGGAAACAGAAUAGGUCAAAGCUUUUGUACCUAUAGUAAUGAUAGCUAGCAUUUACAUAGCGCUUUAAGGUUUGCAAAGUGAUUACAAGUAUUAU